rnacentral:tRNA from 1 species
CGAAAUAUAGCUUAACCAAAGCCUCUUGUCUACACCAAGAAGAUGUCCGACAGCAACAGACUAUUUCGAG